rnacentral:lncRNA from 1 species
UAGUGCUUAAAGGUACCUCACCCUCUUUUUUUUUGCACCCACGCUCUAUCUCUCUCUUGACAUAGGUUGGUGUGAAUAGAACGCAAUCUAUUUAUAUUUAUAGACCUAACCACAAAGCUAUAAUUCUAAUGAAAUAAGGACUCAUACUUCAACUCAAACUCUUAAUUUAUCUCAAACUUUUAAUUUAAUUCCAAUCAAAUUUAAAUUACAAUC